rnacentral:rRNA from 1 species
CCUACGGGAGGCAGCAGUGGGGAAUAUUGCACAAUGGGGGAAACCCUGAUGCAGCGACGCCGCGUGAAGGAAGAUGUAUUUCGGUAUGUAAACUUCUAUCAGCACGGAAGAAAAUGACGGUACCUGACUAUGAAGCCCCGUCUAACUACGUGCCAGCAGCCGCGGUAAUAUGUAGGGGGCAAGCGUUAUCCGGAUUUACUGGGCGUAAAGGGAGCGUAGGCGGCGACGCAAGUCUGGAGUGAAAGCCCGGGGCUAAACUGCGGGACUGCUUUUGAAACCGUGUUGCUAGAGUGCGGGCGAGGUAAGUGGAAUUCCUGGUGUAGCGGUGAAAUGCGUAGAUAUUAGGAGGAACACCAGUGGCGAAGGCAGCUUACUGGACUGUAAAUGACGCUGAGGCUCGAAGGCGUGGGGAGCAAACAGGAUUAGAUACCCGUGUAGUC